rnacentral:rRNA from 1 species
AAACGACUCUCGGCAACGGAUAUCUCGGCUCACGCAUCGAUGAAGAACGUAGCAAAAUGCGAUACUUGGUGUGAAUUGCAGAAUCCCGUGAACCAUCGAGUUUUUGAACGCAAGUUGCGCCCGAAGCCAUCCCGCCGAGGGCACGCCUGCCUGGGCGUCACGC